UACAGAGGGUGCGAGCGUUAAUCGGAAUUACUGGGCGUAAAGCGCACGUAGGCGGCUUGGUAUGUCGGGUGUGAAAUCCCCGGGCUCAACCUGGGAACUGCAUCCGAAACUGCCUUGCUAGAGUAUGGGAGAGGGAAGUGGAAUUUCCGGUGUAGCGGUGAAAUGCGUAGAGACUCGGAAGAACACCAGUGGCGAAGGCGGCUACCUGGACGGGUACUGACGCUGCAGCGCGAAAGCUAGGGGAGCAAACAGG
rnacentral:rRNA from 1 species